rnacentral:rRNA from 1 species
UACGUAGGGGGCAAGCGUUAUCCGGAAUUAUUGGGCGUAAAGAGCUCGUAGGCGGUUUGUCGCGUCUGCCGUGAAAGUCCGGGGCUCAACUCCGGAUCUGCGGUGGGUACGGGCAGACUAGAGUGAUGUAGGGGGAGACUGGAAUUCCUGGUGUAGCGGUGAAAUGCGCAGAUAUCAGGAGGAACACCGAUGGCGAAGGCAGGUCUCUGGGCAUUAACUGACGCUGAGGAGCGAAAGCAUGGGGGAGCGAACAGG